CCAUUUUAUGGUUGACUAGAAAGUUGGAUGUAAAUGCUAGAUGGGUUUAUAUUUCCCUAAGAUCGACAAGUAUUUUCCUUGUUUUUUCAUUAUUCGCUCUUUUGGUGAUGAGUUUCGAUCGAUACUUGGCGACAUCUUAUCCUAUCUUUCAUCGAACGUCGGUAACGAAGGGAAGACUUGUAACUCUUCUGGCAAUACUGCUCAUCGUCGAAGUAACUUCGGGAGUAAUAUCUGUGAAUGACUUUGUUAUUUCCUACCAAGUCCAUGC